AAACAUUUCAUUUACGAAAUGCAAAAUAAGAAAAAUAUGACUAACAUCAACAUAUUUGUUUAUGCUUUGAUUAUCUUUCUAUUUACGUUUUUUAAUGAACUCUCUGCUUAUCAUACAACUAAUAUCCCCUGCGGAUUUGACAAUGAUUGUCCAACAGCGAUAAAACGUUAUAUUUGGCGGUGCCAUGCAAAGUUUUGUAUAAAAUUUGACAGAUGAUUUUGAUGUGUUGCUUGUACGCGGAGAGAUAAAAUAAGGAGUGCUUUUAUUAGUUUGUUGUAAUCUAAAUGAGGAAUCUUAACAAUUUUAUAACUAUUAUUUGUAAUUCCAAUCAAAGAAAAAAAACUGUUGCACUAUUUAAAUACAUAAAGUUUUCUAAGUAAUUUCUUAAAUAAAAAUUCAGGAUAUUACAAUUUUUGC